GGAAGUAAAAGUUGUAACAAGGUCUCCGUUGGUGAACCAGCGGAGGGAUCAUUACCGAGUUUUCAACUCCCAAACCCUAUGUGAACUUACCACACCGUUGCUUCGGCGCGCGCUCGUCGCCGCCGAGGACGUUAAACUCUGUCUUGUAUAAGCAUCUCUGAGUGGCCGAAAGGCAAAAAACAAAUGAAUCAAAACUUUCAACAACGGAUCUCUUGGUUCUG
rnacentral:misc_RNA from 1 species